GACGAACGCUGGCGGCGUGCUUAACACAUGCAAGUCGAACGGAAAGGCCCUGCUUUUGUGGGGUGCUCGAGUGGCGAACGGGUGAGUAACACGUGAGUAACCUGCCCUUGACUUUGGGAUAACUUCAGGAAACUGGGGCUACUACCGGAUAGGAGCUCCUGCUGCAUGGUGGGGGUUGGAAAGUUUCGGCGGUUGGGGAUGGACUCGCGGCUUAUCAGCUUGUUGGUGGGGUAGUGGCUUACCAAGGCUUUGACGGGUAGCCGGCCUGAGAGGGUGACCGGCCACAUGGGGACUAAGGUACGGCGCAGACGCCUACGGGAGGCAGCAGUGGGGAAUAUGACACAAUGGGCGGAAGCCUGAUGCAGCGACGCCGCGUGCGGGAUGACGGCCUUCGGGUUGUAAACCGCUUUCGGCUGUGACGAAGCGUGAGUGACGGUAAUGGGUAAAGAAGCACCGGCUAACUACGUG
rnacentral:rRNA from 1 species